UGGGGAAUUUUGCACAAUGGGGGAAACCCUGAUGCAGCGACGCCGCGUGAUUUAGGAGGCCUUCGGGUUGUAAAAAUCUUUUCUAUGGGAAGAAAAUGACAGUACCAUAGGAAUAAGGACCGGCUAAUUACGUGCCAGCAGCCGCGGUAAUACGUAAGGUCCGAGCGUUGUCCGGAAUCAUUGGGCGUAAAGGGUACGUAGGCGGGUAAGCAAGUUAGAAGUGAAAUCCUAUAGCUCAACUAUAGUAAGCUUUUAAAACUGCUCAUCUUGAGGUAUGGCAGGGAAAGUGGAAUUCCUAGUGUAGCGGUGAAAUGCGCAGAUAUUAGGAGGAAUACCGGUGGCGAAGGCGACUUUCUGGCCAUAACCUGACGCUGAGGUACGAAAGCGUGGGUAGCAAACAGG
rnacentral:rRNA from 1 species